ensembl:lncRNA
CUUCAGCACCCCCCAAUUCAGCAUCACUGUAGUAUCUUACCCUGGACAAAUAGGUGGCACUAGUAAGGAGCCUGCCUGCAAAUGCAGGAGACGUAAGAGAUUCGGGUUCGAUCCCUGGGUCAAGAAGAUCCCCUGGAGAAGGGCAUGGCAACUCACUCUAGUAUUCUUGCCCGGAGAGUCCCGUGAAGAGAGAACCUGGAGGGCUGUAGUCCACGGAGUUGCAAAGAGUCAGACACAACUGACGCUACUGAGCAUGCUUGUUUCUCCUUGCAGCACAAAAGCUGGUAGAAUGAAGUGGGUGUAAGAGUUAAUGUCCAAAGGUGGAAAUCAAGGUGAUAUGGAGCCCAUCAUUUCAAAAUAAUCAUCAGGUUUGCUAUGUUCAAUUAAGGAAAUCCUAGCCUUAAAAAGCUUGGCAAGGCUAGUCCUAGGAGGAUGCUAUAUGUUCAGGAACCCAUGUGACUGAUGCAAGGGGAAAUGGACACACAAAGGAAAGCCUUCCUGCCUCUACUGUGAGUCUUAGAACCACAAACAGGGAGAAAAGGGCACCACACUGAGCACCACUCCUCAGGUGCUCAGCCAGUCACUCUAUGCAUGUCAUUCCCUGCAGCCCUUACAGCAACCUUGUAAGAACUUAUUUUGCUAUUAACGGUACUGAGGUUCACAGCCCAGACUCCCAGCUAGUAAGUGGCAGAGCCGUGACCUGAAUCCAGAUCUCUCCAUCACUGAACCUCCCCACUAUUCAACUCCAUGUCACCAGAACGGGGAUCCUUCUGUCGCUCGGUUACACAGAGGAUGAAAGAGUACUAAUGACUCCAGGUGUCUGCAGAGCCUCAG